rnacentral:lncRNA from 1 species
AUUGAAUAUGUAUAUACUGAAUAAGUGCAUACAUAUCUAUUAUUCUUAAAAUAUGUCAAUAAUUCACACUCAACACCUGUGUGCUUUAUCCGAAAGCAAUAUUUAGUCUCUCAGUAAGGAAACUUGAGUUCAAUCAAGUUAUCUUCCUUGAUCUGUUCUUGAAUGCUUUUGGCAAAUUUUAAAAAAUUAAAUGUAUGACCCUCUAUCUUAGAAAUGAAAACUAGUAAAUAAAAUAAAAUUUUCAGGUUUCCAAAAAAUGCUCAUAGGCAGAAAGAAAGGGAGUGGAUAAAAUGUCCGUAAAUAGUUACUAGGAGAUUCUCCGAUGCCCUUUUUCCUAAUUUCUAGUCUCUCUCUCCCUGUAAGUAUGUUUCUGUAUCUCCUACUCUCUUCCAUUUCUUUCCUUCUUUACUAGUCCCCCCUUAUGAAAGGAAAUGGACUGCAUCUGAAAAAAUUUUUAAAUAUUUGUUGUCUACUUAAAUAAUUAGGGAAAGUGAGGGAAGUGGACUGGCAAGACAAAAGAAAAGCAUUAAUUAUAAUUGCCCCUGUCUUCGCUUGAACAGCCUUCUAAAAAAUAUCUCCUCACUGACCUGCUGUGAAAGGAAUGAAGGCAGCUGAUGGUGUGAUUCGACAGUGGACUGGAAGUUCAAGAAGGAGUUGGGUUAAUCCCUGAAUGACCUUUCUUGACAUCAUCACCUCAUCUCUGAGCAAAUCUUCAGCACCACCCUCAGCACCGGCACCAAAACCACACUUGUGGGCAGGGCUGCUCAUAAAUGAACAUGUGUGCUUUUAUAUAGAUAGAUAAAUAAAUACAUUUUUAAAUCUGAUUCAUCUCUACAUUAAAAAUUAAAGCCAGAAAUUUGAUGUAUCAUUAACUAAUCAAAACAGAAAGAAAACACCAUAUAGGUUCAUUCUCAAAUGUGAUUAGUAGAAAAAUAAAGGUAAAAGAAA